UACGGAGGGGGCUAGCGUUGUUCGGAAUUACUGGGCGUAAAGCGCACGUAGGCGGACCGGAAAGUUGGGGGUGAAAUCCCGGGGCUCAACCCCGGAACGGCCUUCAAAACUCCCGGUCUUGAGGUCGAGAGAGGUGAGUGGAAUUCCGAGUGUAGAGGUGAAAUUCGUAGAUAUUCGGAGGAACACCAGUGGCGAAGGCGGCUCACUGGCUCGAUACUGACGCUGAGGUGCGAAAGCGUGGGGAGCAAACAGG
rnacentral:rRNA from 1 species